rnacentral:lncRNA from 10 species
GGGGAGACUCCAAACUCCACAGGCUAGCGCCGAGCAGGCUUAUAAAAGUGGAAGCCUAUCAAAAAGUUUACCUUUAUUGUGCAAAGAGAAAAAUGUGCUUUGCUAGCAAAAGAAACUAUCAGCAGAGUAAACAGAAAACCUAAGAAUGGGAGAAAAUAUUUGCAAACUGUGCAUCUGAUAAAGGUCUAAUAUCCAGCAUCUAUAAGGAGCUUAAACAAAUUUUCAAGAAAAAUACAAACAACCCGAUUAAAAAGUGGACAAAGGACACAGGCACUUUUCAAAAAAAGACAUACAAGCAUAUGACAAAAAGCUCAAUAUCACUGAUCAUUAGAGAAAUGCAAAUCAAAGCCGCAAUGAGAUACUCAUCUCACACCAGUCAGAAUGGCUAUUAAUAAAAAGUCAAAAAAUAACAGAUGCUGGCAAGGUUGCAGAGAAAAGGGAACACUUAUACACUGUUGGUGGGAGUGCAAAUUAAUUCAUCCAUUGUGGAAAACUGUGUGGUGAUUCUUCAAAGAGAUAAAAACAGAACUACCAUUCGACCCAGCAAUCUCAUUACUGAGUAUUUACCCAAAAGAAUAUAAAUCAUUCUACCAUAAAGACAUAUGAUGUGAAUGUUCAUUGCAGCACUGUUCACAAUAGCAAAGACAUGGAAUCAACCUAAAUGCCCAUGAAUAUAGACUGGAUAAAGCAAAUGUGGUACAUAUACAUUGUGGCAUAAUCUGCAGCUCAAAAAGGAUGAUAUCAUGUUCCUUGCAGCAACAUGGAUGGAGUUGGAGGCCAUUGUCCUUAGCAAACUAACACAGGAACAGAAAACCAAAUACUGCUUGUUCUCUCUUAUAAGUGGGUGCUAAAUGAUGAGAACACACGGAUGCAUACAGACGGGAACAACAGACCCUGGGGCCUACUUGAGGGUAGAGUGUGGGAGGAGGGAAAGGAGCAGAAAAAGCAUCUAUUAGGUAUGAGGCUUAGUACCUGGGUGAUGAAAUAAUCUGUACAACAGCCCCCGUAACGUGAGUUUACCUAUAUAACAAACCUGCACAUUUACCCCUGAACCUAAAAUAGGCGUUAAAAAAAGUGCUUUGCAUUUGCGAGCAGUACAAUUUCUUUGAUAUUGUUUUGGAUCAAGCACCAGAUGUAUGCUUUUUUCCUCUGCUAGUUGCAAGAGGAUGUGCUAGAGAAGAUCACUAUGACCAUAUUCCCUGAUAAACUAUAAAAUUCAUGAGUGUGGGGACCAGAUUUUUCCCCAUAUUUUUAUGCUACAUUCCUGUACCAUUUUAUAAAAUAUAACAGUCAGUGCUGUUGUAAGAGACGGAAACUAGUAUUCCUUUCCCUGUAAGGAAUACUUGCAUCACUAGAGUAGUAUUAUAAUGUAGUUUAUUUAUAUGGAAAGGCACGCAGGAGAUUGCUGGAGAGCUCUUAUAUUGUAUUUGGAUUUGUGGCAGAAGUGUACUCCUAGGCCCCAGACUUACCCUGUGUCCUGGAUCUAUGAGUAUGGCUGGAGAGCCUGUGUGAGUAUCUCAGCCUCUGAGUUCCUUGAUGCAGAACAGACUCACCCAGGGCUCUCUCUCUAGAGAAGUCUUCAACCAUCCGUGAAAAGCAGCCUUCGGUUUAUAAGCUCUGAAGUCGCACAGCUUAACUCCAGUGUUACGGACUGAAUUGUCUUUACUCAAAAUUGAUACAUUGAAGCCCUAGCCCCCAGUGUAACUGUAUUUGGAGAUAAGGCCUUAAAGAGAUACUUAAAGAGGUCUUGUGGGUGGGCUGUCAUCUGAUAGAGCUGGUGUCCCUCGAAGAAGAGGAAGAAACACCAGAGAGGCACGCACGCAGGGGAAAGACCAUGUAAGGACACGGUGAAAACAUGGCCAUCUGCAAGCCGAGGAGAGAGGUCUCAAGAAAAACCAAACCUUCUGACAUCUUGAUCUUGGACUUCCAGCCUCCAGAACUGUAAGAAAUAAAUGUCCAUUGUUUCAGUCUCCCAGUUGGGUAUUUUGUUACGGCAUCCCUAGUAGACUACUACAUCUAGCAAGUAGGACAGUAGUUUGACAGUGUUGAAGAGAGUGUGGUAUGUUCACUGACAAAGUGUUCAUCUGUUUGAUUGCAGACCCUGUUUACCUCCCUUGUUGCAAUUUUACUGCAUCUAUAGCACAUAGAAAGAAAAACUGGGCUUGUGCUAGUCAUUCAGCUGGUGGACUCUCAGUCUAGCUGACAAUACUUUUGCAGCCCUGCCUUGGGCCCCUUCUGGUUCCUUUGGCUGCAGAAUACAAGUUAUACGGUUUCAUUAAUGUGUGCAAAGUACUGUUUGCUAGCCUAAGUGGCAGCAGGAGGCAGAGAUCCAGGGGAUACAGGCAUAAAGAUUAGAGGAAGGAUGUGACAGUGAAGUCAAGACAAAUGAUGCUGUUAGUAUAUGGGGGGACCAUGGCAGGUUAUGGGGUUUCACACAGAGACUGUGGAGUGAGACGGCUGAGGUUUGAAUCCUGAUCUACUAUGUUUUCGGUAGUGAUCCUGAGCAAGUUACUUAACCUGUGUGUGCCUCAGUCUCCUCCUCUGUGAAAAAGAUAUUAAUAGAGUUGUGAGGUUUAAGUGAGUUGUAUUAUGUAAAGUGGUUUCAGCAGUGCCUAAGAACUAGUAGAUGUUCUGUAAGCAUUAGUGAUGAU